GGCUUUUGUUGGAAAUUGAUUAUUUUGAAAUUAAUCUAAAAACGUUCGAAUCGUUUAAAAGCUU
rnacentral:tRNA from 1 species